rnacentral:rRNA from 1 species
UUACAAGCUACUAAGGGCACAUGGUGGAUGCCUUGGCAUCGAGAGCCGAUGAAGGACGUAGGAGUCUGCGAUAAGCCCUGGGGAGCUGACAACCGAGCUGUGAUCCAGGGGUGUCCGAAUGGGGAAACCCGGCCAGAGUUAUGUCUGGUCACCGGCGCCUGAACACAUAGGGCGUUCGGAGGGAACGUGGGGAAGUGAAACAUCUCAGUACCCACAGGAAGAGAAAACAACAGUGAUUCCGUGAGUAGUGGCGAGCGAAAGCGGAUGAGGCUAAACCGUGCAGAUGUUAAAGACGGCGGUCGUUGUCUGUGCGGGGUCGUGGGAACGUGCUUGCUGGUUCUGCCGGACUAGCGGGAAGUGAUAAAGCUCAGUUGAAGUCGAAGGGCCUGGAAUGGUCCGGCGUAGAGGGUGAGACCCCUGUAGACGUAAACCUGAGCCUUCCUUGUGCGUAUCCCGAGUAACGCGUGACUCCUGGAAUUGCGCGUGAAUUUGGCGGGACCACCCGUUAAGCCUAAAUACUCCUCGAUGACCGAUAGCGGACUAGUACCGUGAGGGAAAGGUGAAAAGUACCCCGGGAGGGGAGUGAAAUAGUACCUGAAACCAUGUGCCUACAAUCCGUCGGAGCCUUGACUUCGGUCGUGGUGACGGCGUGCCUUUUGAAGAAUGAGCCUGCGAGUUAGUGGUACGUGGCGAGGUUAACCCGUUGUGGGGUAGCCGUAGCGAAAGCGAGUCCGAAUAGGGCGUUUGAGUCGCGUGCUCUAGACCCGAAGCGGAGUGAUCUAUCCAUGGGCAGGUUGAAGCGCGGGUAAGACCGCGUGGAGGACCGAACCCACUUAGGUUAAAAACUGAGGGGAUGACCUGUGGAUAGGGGUGAAAGGCCAAUCAAACUCCGUGAUAGCUGGUUCUCCCCGAAAUGCAUUUAGGUGCAGCGUCGUUUGUUUCUUGCCGGAGGUAGAGCACUGGAUGGUCUAGGGGGCCUACAAGCUUACCGAAAUCAACCAAACUCCGAAUGCCGGCAAGUGAGAGAGCGGCAGUGAGACUGCGGGGGAUAAGCUCCGUAGUCGAGAGGGAAACAGCCCAGACCAUCAGCUAAGGCCCCUAAGCGAUUGCUAAGUGGAAAAGGAUGUGGAGUCGCACAGACAACCAGGAGGUUGGCUUAGAAGCAGCCACCCUUGAAAGAGUGCGUAAUAGCUCACUGGUCAAGUGAUUCUGCGCCGACAAUUUAGCGGGGCUCAAGCAAUCCGCCGAAGCUAUGGCAUUCAUACGUGUACUCGGCUCGUCUCCUUCGGGUGGCGGGUCCAGGUGUGUGGAUGGGUAGGGGAGCGUCGUGUGGCGUGUGAAGCGGCGGGGUGACCCAGCCGUGGAUGCCACACGAGUGAGAAUGCAGGCAUGAGUAGCGAAUGAAGAGUGAGAAACUCUUCCGCCGAAUGACCAAGGGUUCCAGGGUCAAGCUAAUCUGCCCUGGGUAAGUCGGGACCUAAGGCGAGGCCGACAGGCGUAGUCGAUGGACAACGGGUUGAUAUUCCCGUACCGGCGUUGGUGCGCCCAUGCUGAAUCAGUAAUGCUAAGCACCCGAGCCGAGCGUGACUGCCCUUCGGGGUGGCGUGUCUUGGUAAGCGUGUGACCCGAGCUGGUAGUAGGCAAGUGAUGGGGUGACGCAGGAAGGUAGCUCAUCGCGGCGAUGGUUGUCCGCGUGUAAGGAUGUAGGACGAGGGAUAGGCAAAUCCGUUCCUCAUGUGUCUGAGAUCUGAUGCCGAGCCGUUUCAGGCGAAGUGAGUGAUCCUAUGCUGUCGAGAAAAGCCUCUAGCGAGUACCAGAGCCGCCCGUACCCCAAACCGACACAGGUGGUCAGGUAGAGAAUACCAAGGCGAUCGAGUGAAUCGUGGUUAAGGAACUCGGCAAAAUGCCCCCGUAACUUCGGGAGAAGGGGGGCCCGACUCGUGAACACCCUUGCGGUGGGAGCGAUGACGGCCGCAGAGACCAGGCCCAAGCGACUGUUUACUAAAAACACAGGUCCGUGCGAAGAAGUAAUUCGAUGUAUACGGACUGACUCCUGCCCGGUGCUGGAAGGUUAAGGGGACGUGUUAGCACUUCGGUGCGAAGCGCUGAACUUAAGCCCCAGUAAACGGCGGUGGUAACUAUAACCAUCCUAAGGUAGCGAAAUUCCUUGUCGGGUAAGUUCCGACCUGCACGAAUGGAGUAACGACUUGGGCGCUGUCUCAACCACGAGCUCGGCGAAAUUGCACUACGAGUAAAGAUGCUCGUUACGCGCGGCAGGACGGAAAGACCCCGGGACCUUCACUACAGCUUGGUAUUGGUGUUUGGUUCGACUUGUGUAGGAUAGGUGGGAGACUGUGAAGCAGCCACGCCAGUGGUUGUGGAGUCAUCGUUGAAAUACCACUCUGGUCGUACUAGAUAUCUAACUUAGGUCCGUGAUCCGGAUCAGGGACAGUGCCUGGUGGGUAGUUUAACUGGGGCGGUUGCCUCCUAAAAUGUAACGGAGGCGCCCAAAGGUUCCCUCAGCCUGGUUGGCAAUCAGGUGUUGAGUGUAAGUGCACAAGGGAGCUUGACUGUGACACCGACGGGUGGAGCAGGGACGAAAGUCGGGACUAGUGACCCGGCGCUGGCAUGUGGAAGCGGCGUCGCUCAACGGAUAAAAGGUACCCCGGGGAUAACAGGCUGAUCUUCCCCAAGAGUCCAUAUCGACGGGAUGGUUUGGCACCUCGAUGUCGGCUCGUCGCAUCCUGGGGCUGGAGCAGGUCCCAAGGGUUGGGCUGUUCGCCCAUUAAAGCGGCACGCGAGCUGGGUUUAGAACGUCGUGAGACAGUUCGGUCCCUAUCCGCCGCGCGCGUAGGAAACUUGAGAAAGGCUGUCCCUAGUACGAGAGGACCGGGAUGGACGAACCUCUGGUGUGUCAGUUGUUCUGCCAAGAGCACUGCUGAUUAGCUACGUUCGGGAGUGAUAACCGCUGAAAGCAUCUAAGCGGGAAGCACGUUUCAAGAUGAGGUUUCCCACCCCUUGUGGGUUAAGGCCCCCAGUAGACCACUGGGUUGAUAGGCCGGAAGUGGAAGCGCAGCAAUGCGUGUAGCUGACCGGUACUAAUAGGCCGAGGGCUUGUUCUA